rnacentral:lncRNA from 7 species
CAUGAACCUCCCUGCUGGCUCCUGCUUGAACAAGGAUGCCUGGGAAAGAUCUCUGGUAAGCUAUCAGGAGAAGAGUCCAUGCAGCCUUAGAGCUCACCUGUGCCCCAAAAUAAAAACCCACCAUGAGCAGGGUCAGGUCUGGCAGCUGAUGACAGAGGAAGGCGUUAUGUUGGGAUCCCAUGGCAGCAUGACAGUAAAGAACCUCCAUUGAUUGCCAUGGGAAUAUUCUGCAUGGAAAGGCAGCGGGAGCUGUGCCUUUAACAGGAAGCAGCAGUGAUAGUCAGUGAUGUUUCUGUCUGCACAGAAAUAAAGUGCU